UACAGAGGUCUCAAGCGUUGUUCGGAUUCAUUGGGCGUAAAGGGUGCGUAGGCGGCGCGGUAAGUCGGGUGUGAAAUCUCGGAGCUUAACUCCGAAACUGCAUUCGAUACUGCCGUGCUUGAGGACUGGAGAGGAGACUGGAAUUUACGGUGUAGCGGUGAAAUGCGUAGAUAUCGUAAGGAACACCAGUGGCGAAGGCGGCUUACUGGUCCGGUUCUGACGCUGAGGCGCGAAAGCGUGGGGAGCAAACAGG
rnacentral:rRNA from 1 species